CCGAGUUUAUUUAUUAUGGUAAUACAUACUAAGUCAGAGCAGAAUCUAUUUUUGUCGACGUUGUACAAUAAAUUGAUUAUUGAUAAAUAUCUUUCAUUGGAACGGUGAACACAUUGACUGAUCUAUGGAAAUACUGAGAAUUUUCUUCAAGUUCCACGCAGAGUUUUGUAAUAUCAAAGAGAUGAUGAAGGUUUCUUGAAACGUACAGUACGAAGAUAUAAAGGAGAAAAAAAUAAUAGAAAAAACUAGGCACUAAUGAGGAUAAUUCUGAACUAACUCCCAAAGUAAGGCUAUAAUGGUUCCACAAACAUCUUAUCGAAAAAGGAUUCCUAAGGGAGCUCUUUAAAUAUGGCGAUAUAAUAUUUAUUUGCAAGUGAGGAAAACCCACUUUAAAAGAUAUAAGCAUCAAUACCGGCAUAACUCAAAAUUGAAAAUUAGGCUUGAAGAUUCCGGAAGUGUCGUUAUUGUAUUAUGUGAUUAGUCCCAAAUAUUGGCUGCAUUACAGACACCAAUCAGUUUGCGUCAAACGUUCGAUAGGACCAGGGCUCGUUCAUGUUAUCAGCAAUGGCACAUUUUAAGUGUUGAGGUUGUUAUAAUCCCUAGUUAGUCUAUUUAAUGAAAAAAUGUCUUACUGAAAUAGUGACAUAACUCAAAAAGUUACAUUUUAAGAAGAGUAAACUUUACAAUAACUUCUUUGAAUAGUUUUGCGGUUUAUUAUUACCGUUUUAACGUUGCAAAUGUAAAAUCAAUGCACGGCCCUAUCCGGAUUUGGGUCACUUAUGCAUUUUUUAUGCGAACUUCAAAAUCAAAUGAACAUUUUUUGCGUUGCGCUAAUUGUUAAAAAUUGGAUUGUUCCCAAAUUGAAUGUUAUGUUUCAUUACUGAAAUUUUAGUGACAGUUUAAAGCAGGGGCGUCAUUUGGGCCUCCAGGAGGGGGGCAUUUGACCCCCUGGCCCUGAAAAUAACAAAAAAUACAUCAAUAUUCAUCAUAAAAUCAUAUAUAAUGUAUUGUAUAUACAGUGUGUCAAUUUUAAAACUUACAAUGGCUAUAUCUCACGAACAAAAGCUGAUAUCGAAAAAUGCUUGAAAACGUUUCUAGGAUAGUAAGGGGGAACUAAAAUGACAUGAAAGAGAACUCACCCCAUCAACCCCCUAGGCCCCAUCCAUCACAACCAAAAAAGUUUAAACUGCAAACCCCUACUUGUGAUACAUCAUUGAAAAGGCUAUAAAAAUGCUAUUCAAUGGUAUAAAUAAUAAUUAUACAGGGUGAAGUAAUAAUUGUGAAACUUUAGCUUAAAUGAAAAAUUUAAUAAGGUUUUCUUGAAUUACAAAUUUAUUAAAAAUGUCAAUUAACUAAAUACUUAAUGUGAAUUCCGUUGUUUGGUAAACAAUAAUACAGCCUAUUUUCAAAUUCUGCACGAAAUUUAGCAAAUGUUCUAGUAAUAGGGCGACAUGCUUGAGUAAUUCUUUCUCACAAUUCCCCAAGUGAAGCAAGUUGAGUUUUAUAAACAACUGAUUUAGGGUAACCCCAUAGAAAAAAGUAAUAUACUAUCCUACUAUAAAAAGUACUAUCCAAUGGUAUAAAUAAUAAUUAUACAGGGUGUUAAUAUCAGCUGGCUUACUAUGACUUUUGUAUUUGUAAUGCUAUCUCUCGGACUAUUAUUUUAAAUGGUAAGUGUCUGCUCGUACUUUUUUUUUAUUAAAACUUAAUUUGCCAUUUUUGCCUUAAAUCAGUUGUUUAUAAAACUUAACUUGCGUCAUUUGGGAAAUUGCGAGAAAUAAUUACUCAAGCAUGUCGCCCUAUUACUAGAAAAACAUUUGUCAAAUUUCGUGCAGAAUUGGAAAAUAGACUGUAUUAUUGUUUACAAAACAACGGAACCCACUUUGAACAUUAACUUAAUUGACAUUUUUAUCAAAUUUGUAGCUCAACAAAACCUCAAUAAAUUUUUCAUUUAAGCCA